GACGAACGCUGGCGGCGUGCUUAACACAUGCAAAUCGAACGGUAAGGCCCUUCGGGGUACACGAGUGGCGAACGGGUGAGUAACACGUGGGUGAUCUGCCCUGCACUUCGGGAUAAGCCUGGGAAACUGGGUCUAAUACCGGAUAGGACUCCUGGCUUCAUGGUUGGGGGUGGAAAGCUUUUGCGGUGUGGGAUGGGCCCGCGGCCUAUCAGCUUGUUGGUGGGGCAAUGGCCUACCAAGGCGACGGCGGGUAGCCGGCCUGAGAGGGUGACCGGUCACACUGGGACUGAGAUACGGCCCAGACUCCUACGGGAGGCAGCAGUGGGGAAUAUUGCACAAUGGGCGCAAGCCUGAUGCAGCGACGCCGCGUGAGGGAUGACGGCCUUCGGGUUGUAAACCUCUUUCAGCUAUGACGAAGCGCAAGUGACGGUAGUAGCAGAAGAAGGACCGGCCAACUACGUGCCAGCAGCCGCAGUAA
rnacentral:rRNA from 1 species